CUCUGCAAAUGGCACCUUGGUUCUGUUGAUGAUCACCGAGACUGGAACACCCGGCUUCUUCCACACAGUCCUGAUGACACUGAAGAGAACCCAGCCUGGGGGCUGCAUCUGGCACAUCCCUACUCAGUGAGCGGUGUUCGGGUGCAGGCACCAGAACUCCCAGCUUGUUCUGCUUCGGGGCUUGCUCUCUGCCUGAAUGGCCCCGACCGAACGCUGUACACUGUACGCCAGGAGCUGAGAAAGAUCGCAGGCUAAGCAAUUUGACCUCCAACCCAGCAGGUGCGACAGUGAUUCAAGGCGCAGCUGCUGCCUAAGGGAGCUCCCAGGGAAGCCACGUGUUGCAAUUGGAUGAAGAUUGAAUGCACUUUGCAGCUGGGGCCUUGGGAGAGUGAGCUGGGACUCCCACAGGAAGAAGCUGGGUACCACAAGUAGAAGAGCUGCCGAGCCACUGGUGGCGAAUCCACACACGCACCCACAGAGUGGGCUAAGUUACACACACUCGACUUAACACAGGACUAGCUUCGACUUAACCUACUGAUCCUCAAACCUGGCACUGCUGCAGGCUGCCGAGGUUCACAGGGAAGUAGCCAGUGAAGAGGGCCGAGGUGAAGCCGUUUUGCGCAAUGCUGCCCUCAGAUAUGAGCUCAGUGGUUCUUUUGGGGGCUACAGUCUAAAGAGCAUCAAGCUGAAAAUCGAUAGCUCAAUUGGCAAUCAAGCGUGUGAGUAACUGGAUGUGGGCGGGGGCUUCAUAGGACAGCGAAGAGGUCCGUGCCUGUCAUCUGGUGCCUACCAUGCCUGCUGGGCCAGGAAACUGAUGUCAGGCAUCACUGGGAGAUGAGCACCUCGGGAGCCUUACAGUCCUGUGAUGAUCAGUGUUGUUGAGGCCUAUGGAUUCACCCAGUGCCACCUCGUCAUGGCAGAGGAACCCUGAGAGAACUAGAAGCUUCUCUAAGGUGCCAACUGAAGCUUCUAGAAUGGAUGAGUCCCUGCUAUCAGGGAUAUGAUCAAAAGCCAUCCCGGUAGGCAAGACCCCUUUCUGGGUUUAAAAGCAAA